GAUUAAGUCUGCAAAACUUCCUUUUUGUACUGAUUGUCUAAUUACAACAGCAGUGACCAAAAGGAGCGCCUUGCACCAAUUCCCAGCAUGUUGCAGAAUUAACUGAUGUCUGCCAUGUUAUCUGGGACACUAGGAAAAAUGUGGGCCCACUGCUGAAUGACGUGGGUGCCCUAGCCAUGGAGGACACUGAAAAGAUGGAGUUACUGAAUGCCACCUUUGCUUCAGUCUUUACUAACACUAACCCUCAGGAAUCCCAGUCCCUGGAGUUAAGAGCGAGAGCAUGGGGGAGAGGAAGGCUUCCUCCUGGUUGAUGAGGAUGUGGUCAGAGAUUGUCCAGACAAAUUCAACACACACAGAUCCAUAGGCCCUAACAGGAUGCACCCACAAGUGCUGAGAAAAAUGGCAGAAGUGACUGGCAAACUGCUGUUAUCUUUAAAAGGUCAUGGAGAGUGGGAGAGUUGCCCGAAGACUGGAGGAAAGCCUAUGUCAUUCCAGUCUUCCGAAAGGACAAGAACAAGUGCCUGGGAAACUACAAGCCAGCCAGCCUCAGCUCCAUCCCUUGGAAGGUGAUCGCAUAGCUUAUUUUGGAUGUCAUCUCCGAGCAAGUGGAAGAGGAAAAAGUUACCAGGAGUAGUCAAUGUGACAGAGCACUGGAACAAGCUGCCCAGAGAGGCUGUGAAGUCUCCUUCUCUAGAAAUAUUUAAAACUCACCUGGAUGCUUUUCUGCACAACCAACUGUAGGCAGCCUGCUUUAGUAGGGUGGAUGGACUAAAUGAUCCCCGGAGGUCCAUUCCGACACCUAUGAUUCUGUGAUUCUGUGACACUUGAUCCUGCUGGUGUCUGAGGAACUAGACUUGCCUGGUCAGGCCCUUAGAAUAUUUAGAAGAAACUGCUACUUUCAAGCUCUCUGCUGGCCAUGGGAGCAAGCUGGGAACCAUGACUGAGCAUGUAAAGAGAUCAGACAACUAACUACAAGGAACUUGAACUGAUAGAUCUGAUAAUUUUGGGUAAGGAAGAGUUGCAUUGCACUGUUUGUCUAUGUCCCACUUUAAGUUACAUAAAUUAUUUCUGUGUCUUGCAUCUAGAAUCUCCCUCUGUCCUCUAGAAGAGGAAAAUAGCCUGAAAAUAAAGGUUAUGGGCUACAAGAAAGUCUGUAGCAUUACCAGUCUCUAUGUUCCAAACACCUUUCCUUUCUUGUAUCUUUUUCCUUUCCUACAACAAAUGUUUACUUGGGUUUUGCUGCAGUGUGGCUUGUUCUUUGGCAGCGCAAGACCUACAGUCCCACCACAUGUGAAGGACUCCAUUCCAUUAUGUUAACCAGGUACCAGAAAUUGCUACUUAGGAAGUUGUUUGCCCUUAGAAGUCUCAAGAAGUUUUCUCUGCUACGUAAAACUUGAACUGAUUCUUCUAAACAGUAGAAUUCAGAGUGUUUGGGAACACAAAUAGUGUUUGUCAUUUCAUGGAAUAGGCUCCCCAUGGAGGUGGUUGAGUCACCGUCCCUGGAUGUGUUUAAGAGCCGUUUGGAUGUGGUGCUCGGAUAUAUGAUUUAGCGGAGGGUUGUUAGAGUUAGGGUAGUAUGGUUAGGCUGCGGAUGGACUUGAUGAUCUUUGAGGUCCUUUCCAACCUGAGUAAUUCUAUGAUUCUAUGAGUUUUCCAACUUGGUUAUCCUCUUUGAUUUGCCAUCUUUUGUGAUUACCACGUUAGAGGCAUUUUGGAAACUGAAACCCCCGUGCCAGAGAGGCAGGCAUUAGGAAGCUGUCUUUAAAGCAGUGUCCAGCCCAUGAUUCACUGGAUGCACUGCUCAGGUGUGCUCCUGCACUGCCCAUGAAAAUAUGCUUUCUGUUUUGCUGUUUAGGCUGGUGGAUG
ensembl:lncRNA